UUUUUAGAUGCUAAAACUUAUGGGUGAAAGUGGAUUAAAUGUAGCCAAAUGCAACAUCAAAAUCUUCAGGCACAAAAACCCAUUAACUUUUUCAUACUCUCAGAAGGUGAACCUAAUUUCAAAUGAAAGCUGCCUCCAGAAUAUAUUGUUAAGCGUAUUCUAGAUAUAAUUCAUUUUGGCAAACAUACUGUAGAAAUUCACAUAACAUUUUACUGUACUAAAAGUAAAUUGCCCAUGUAACAAAAAAUAUCUUUUCAGAGCUUGAAAUGAAUUUUAAAGGAUGACUGAUGGUCCCUGGAAGAGAAACAGUAAACAAAUAAGGUUUCAGGCACAGAACUGUAUAUCCAAUAAUAGUGAAAUGGAUCCCACUAAUUAUGACAGAAAUGAUGAUACAUUUAAAUGACUUGGAUGUUUUAUAGGUUGGCACUCAUCAUGAGCCCCUGUUCUCAUUCUGCAAAUGGUGAAGCUCUCUAUUGUCCUGACCCCACAGUUCCUGUCCCAUGACCAGGGCCAGCUCACCAAGGAGCUGCAGCAGCAUGUAAAG
rnacentral:lncRNA from 1 species